AGGCUCAUUUCAUUACUGGAACAGAUUAAUAAUCAGACAACCAAGCAGACAAAAGUCACAAUCCAGAGGCGGAGGAGUGUUCUAGAGGACGAUGAUUAACUCAGAUAUGUAACUUCUGCUUUUACGAAGACGCAGUGCUGUUUUUGUUCCGUACUAUAUUUGUGGACAAAUACUUUGAGGGUCGUGAUAUAUAUAAUUGAAUUCCUGUGUGGCUUUGUAGUUCCAAAUUUUGUCCUCGUC
rnacentral:misc_RNA from 1 species